AUGGUCGAGAAGAACAAUGGAUUGUUGAUGGAGCCAAUCAACAAGGACGAUAAGGACGGCCACAACAGUGAGAAUAAGAAGGCGGAGCUCAUCGCCGUCGGCCGCCAGCUCUGCAGGGAGAAGAAAAACGACAAUGCGUUAAUUAUAAAGAAGUCAACAAUGCCACCUGGUGUGCAAAGGGUCCUAAGGUAUAUGUUAUCCACCAUUGGUAUUGAUCCAUUAGAAUAUUUGAUUCCCGUGAGGGGCGGCGACCCAUGCUGGACGUGUGAUGAGGGGAGUGUUGUUGAUGCGACCUGGCGGACAGAUAUCAAGGGUGAUGUUGAGGCCGGCGGCAAAAUAAAUGGCCAAAUGGGGCUCCUCAAUGCAAGUGAGAAGGCUGAUUGA
rnacentral:rRNA from 1 species